rnacentral:rRNA from 1 species
CUACGGGGGGCAGCAGUGGGGAAUAUUGGACAAUGGGGGAAACCCUGAUCUAGCAAUGCCGCGUGUGUGAAGAAGGCCUGCGGGUUGUAAAGCACUUUCGGUUGGGAGGACUGCUUCUAGCACUAAUAUUGUUGGAAGUUGACGUUACCUUCAGAAGAAGCACCGGCUAACUCCGUGCCAGCAGCCGCGGUAAUACGGAGGGUGCAAGCGUUAAUCGGAAUCACUGGGCGUAAAGCGCGCGUAGGCGGCUAGAUCAGUCUGGUGUGAAAGCCCCGGGCUUAACCUGGGAACUGCAUCCGAUACUGUCUAGCUUGAGUACAGGAGAGGAGAGUGGAAUUCCACAUGUAGCGGUGAAAUGCGUAGAUAUGUGGAGGAACACCAAUGGCGAAGGCAGCUCUCUGGCCUGAUACUGACGCUGAGGUGCGAAAGCGUGGUGAGCAAACAGGAUUAGAUACCCUUGUAGUC